GGGCGUAAAGCGCGCGUAGGUGGUUCAGCAAGUUGGAUGUGAAAUCCCCGGGCUCAACCUGGGAACUGCAUCCAAAACUACUGAGCUAGAGUACGGUAGAGGGUGGUGGAAUUUCCUGUGUAGCGGUGAAAUGCGUAGAUAUAGGAAGGAACACCAGUGGCGAAGGCGACCACCUGGACUGAUACUGACACUGAGGUGCG
rnacentral:rRNA from 1 species